rnacentral:misc_RNA from 1 species
GCUUUUUUUGUUUGCCCAGCAAAGCUGGCAAACCCGUCCACUUUAAAGAUAGUGGAGUCACCCUGACUAAGGGGAAGACAAUCUGAAUGGCAAGGGCGCCACUGGCCAACGGUGAGGUCUGAAGGAAGCCAUAAGAAGUUAGAUGUACACAACUAACCGUAACCUGUUUCGGCGGGAUUGGUGGGUAAGCGUCCAAAAUAGCGCGAAGCCCAAUACUUAGUCAGACCAAUUCUGUGCUUGAGGGUGGCAUAUCUAACAGGGAGUCAGUGCAAUAACUGGGGAAGCCUGGCAUCUAAACUUAAUUGUCAGUAAGUGG